rnacentral:rRNA from 1 species
UAAAAUAUUAUAAUUUGAAAAUUAAAAAACAAAAGAAUUUGGCGGUGUUUCAUUUUAUUAGGGGAUCUUGCGAUUUAAUUCGAUAGCCCACGAUUUAUUUUUCCUUAAAUUGAAAUUAUCAAUUGAUGUAUUGCCGUAUAGUAGUAUUUAAAAAAAUAAUUAUAAUAUUUAUAUAUAAGUAUAUUAAAUACAGGUCAAAGUAUUGUUAAUAUUAAGGUAUUGUUGAGAUACUUUUAUUUAUAGAUAUAUAUAAAUGUUAGAAUAUAAACAUUUGUAAUAAAGGACUUAAUAGUAAUUAAAUUAAAUAAAUUUAAUGAAUAAAAACUUGAAACAAGU